rnacentral:rRNA from 1 species
CCCAGACUCCUACGGGAGGCAGCAGUGGGGGAUAUUGCACAAUGGGGGAAACCCUGAUGCAGCGACGCCGCGUGUAGGAAGACGGUCCUCUGGAUUGUAAACUACUGUCCCCAGGGACGAAGAUGACGGUACCUGGGGAGGAAGCUCCGGCUAACUACGUGCCAGCAGCCGCGGUAAUACGUAGGGAGCGAGCGUUGUCCGGAAUUACUGGGUGUAAAGGGAGCGUAGGCGGGGAUGCAAGUUGGGUGUUAAAUCUACCGGCUCAACUGGUAGUCGCACUCAAAACUGCAGCUCUUGAGUGAAGUAGAGGCAGGCGGAAUUCCUAGUGUAGCGGUGAAAUGCGUAGAUAUCAGGAGGAACACCGGUGGCGAAGGCGGCCUGCUGGACGGAUACUGACGCUGAGGCCCGAAAGCGUGGGGAGCGAACAGGAUUAGAUACCCGCGUAACC